GACGAACGCUGGCGGCGUGCCUAAUACAUGCAAGUAGAACGCACAGUUUAUACCGUAGCUUGCUACACCAUAGACUGUGAGUUGCGAACGGGUGAGUAACGCGUAGGUAACCUGCCUGGUAGCGGGGGAUAACUAUUGGAAACGAUAGCUAAUACCGCAUAAUAUUAAUUAUUGCAUGAUAAUUAAUUGAAAGGUGCAAUUGCACCACUACCAGAUGGACCUGCGUUGUAUUAGCUAGUAGGUGAGGUAACGGCUCACCUAGGCGACGAUACAGAGCCGAACUGAGAAGGUGAUCGGCCACACUGGGACUGAGACACGGCCCAGACGCCUACGGGAGGCAGCAGGAGGGAAUCUUCGGCAAUAGACGAAAGUCUGACCGAGCAACGCCGCGGGAGUGAAGAAGGUUGUCGGAUCGUAAAGCUCUGUUGUAAGAGAAGAACGGGUGUGAGAGUGGAAAGUUCACACUGUGACGGUAUCUGACCAGAAAGGGACGGCUAACUACGUG
rnacentral:rRNA from 1 species